CGCAUCUGUGCAUGCAGCAUAUCAAUAAGCGGAGGAAAAGAAACUAACAAGGAUUCCCCUAGUAACGGCGAGUGAAGCGGGAAGAGCUCAAAUUUGAAAUCUUAAAGGGUUUCCCUUUACGAAUUGUAGUUUAAAGAAGUGUUUUCUGUUGAGGUUUUGGUAAAAGUUCUUUGGAAUAGGACAUCAUAGAGGGUGAGAAUCCCGUAUUUGACCUUUACUUUCAACUUUGUGAUACACUUUCAAAGAGUCGGAUUGUUUGGGAAUGCAGUCCAAAAUGGGUGGUAAAUUUCAUCUAAAGCUAAAUAUUGGCGAGAGACCGAUAGCGAACAAGUACCGUGAGGGAAAGAUGAAAAGAACUUUGAAAAGAGAGUUAAACAGUACGUGAAAUUGUCAAAAGGGAAGCGUUUGACACCAGUGUUGUUUUUCUGAAAAUCAAUUAAAGAACUGUUUAUGCUAAGUUGUUUAGACUUUAUCAGCUAACUGUUUAGUUUUGAGCUUUUCUUUAAUGCACUUUUCAGUUAACAAGUCAACAUCAAUUUCUUUUGCUGUAAAAAAGCUUGAGGAAGGUGGCUUGAGAUUCGUCUUAAGUGUUUAUAGCCUCUUGCCUAUGCAGUCGGAGAGAUUGAGGUCUGCAGCGUAGAUCCUUCGGGGCUAAAUGCAUUUGUGCUAAGUUAUAGCAUUUUAUAGACAACUUGUUGACUAUGAUUUGUCUUGUAGCUUACUCGCUUAUGUUAUUUUACCUACGCUUAGGAUGUUGAACGCGCACAGAGUCUC
rnacentral:rRNA from 1 species